rnacentral:sRNA from 1 species
CCUGAUUCUAAAACGCUUUCUGUCUCCCAUUCGACACAGCACCGACACCACCCCCCCUUUCCCCUUUCUUAUCAAGACCCAAAUUAGAGAGGCCUGGGCAGAGGUGGGUGUGCUUUAAGAGCGGGCUUGGGGAUGGAGAGGCUGACACAACCUCUCUCUUUUCUGCCUAAUUAAGCCUCAGGAAUGUCAUGUAGCCUCAGACACGCAGUUUGAUUUUAAUUGGGGCCUGUGUGCAGGGCUCACCCUAACCUCGGAGAACGCAGGCUUUCUCUGAUGGCCUCUGCUCCUGAACAUGUGACGAGCUCUUGGAAAACCCACAUAGAACAACCCAGAAAUAGCCAGCAGACCAAAGGGAAAAACAAUCUGGAACCAGAUCCACGAAGCAAAGGAGACAGAAGAGCAUGGGAUGCAGAGGCAGGAGGGAGAAACACAUGAGAUAGGAAAGAAGCUCCAGGCUUGGGGAGUCUUCCCACUGCUCCUAUCACAGUGGGCUUGGAGACCCCUUCUUAGAGUCCACACCCCUCACCCUCUGUGUUCCGUUCUGGAUGGCUGUAAGGAGGAAGCCGAUGGUGGCAGUCUCAGGCUAUGUGAGUUCUCCACCAGAGCCCAGUGGCCUUGAUGACACAGAAAGGUGGCCCAAGUUAAUUUUCUUUCUCAGUCUGCAAUACUUCAUCUCCCAACAACCAGGACAGCCGGGCAAUCCAUCAAUCAGUCUUCUGGAUUUCCAACAUAGAUGUGGCUUUUUCAGGAACCUUCAGUUACAACAGCAUCACUGCCUUCUAAGGUUUUCGCGCCUAGUUGACGGCAUAACUGAGGCAUCAAGCUUAAAAUAAUAAGGGUCUUCCUGCCUUCUGCUCCCUCUGGGAGCAGCACCUGGAGGCUAAACAUUUCAACUUGGGCUGGAGAGAUGGCUCAGCGGUUAAGAGCACUGACUGCUC